GGGCCCGCACAAGCGGUGGAUUAUGUGGAUUAAUUCGAUGCAACGCGAAAAACCUUACCUGGCCUUGACAUGUACCGAAUUUAGCAGAGAUGCUUUAGUGCUCGUAAGAGAACGGUAACACAGGUGCUGCAUGGCUGUCGUCAGCUCGUGUCGUGAGAUGUUGGUUAAGUCCCGCAACGAGCGCAACCCUUGCCAUUAAUUGCCAUCAUUUAGUUGGGCACUUUAAUGGGACUGCCGGUGACAAACCGGAGGAAGGUGGGGAUGACGUCAAGUCCUCAUGGCCCUUAUGGCCAGGGCUUCACACGUAAUACAAUGGGAGAUACAGACGGUUGCUAAAGCGCGAGCUGGAG
rnacentral:rRNA from 1 species